GCCUGACAUCUAGCCCACACCAUUCGCAUGACUACCUCUCCUUUCCACCUCUAAACAAAACAUUUUCCCACUUUAGUACAGGCGAUCGAAAAAUUUAUAGGCGCUUCAGAUUAAGUACCGCAAGGGAAUGAUGAAAUAAAAAUGAAAUAAAUUUAAAGCCUUAAAUAGCAGAGACUACCACUCG
rnacentral:rRNA from 1 species